GCCUUUAUAACUCAAAUGGUAGAGUAUUUCCUUGGUAAGGAAAAAGUUAUGGGUUCAAUUCCCAUUAGAGGCU
rnacentral:tRNA from 1 species